GACGAACGCUGGCGGCGUGCCUAACACAUGCAAGUCGAACGGAAAGGCCCUGCUUUUGUGGGGUGCUCGAGUGGCGAACGUGUGAGUAACACGUGAGUAACCUGCCCUUUACUUUGGGAUAACUUCAGGAAACUGGGGCUAAUACCGGAUAGGAGCUCCUGCUGCAUGGUGGGGGUUGGAAAGUUUCGGCGGUUGGGGAUGGACUCGCGGCUUAUCAGCUUGUUGGUGGGGUAGUGGCUUACCAAGGCUUUGACGGGUAGCCGGCCUGAGAGGGUGAACGGCCACAUUGGGACUGAGAUACGGCCCAGACUCCUACGGGAGGCAGUAGUGGGGAAUAUUGCACAAUGGGCGGAAGCCUGAUGCAGCAACGCCGCGUGCGGGAUGAAGGCCUUCGGGUUGUAAACCGCUUUCGCCUGUGACGAAGCGUGAGUGACGGUAAUGGGUAAAGAAGCACCGGCUAACUACGUG
rnacentral:rRNA from 1 species